ensembl:snRNA U6 U6 spliceosomal RNA
GUGCUUGCUUCGACAGCACAUGUACUAAAAUUGGAACGAUAUAGAGAAGAUUAGCAUGGUCCCUGCACAAGCAUGACACACAAAUUCAUGAAGCGUUUUGUAUUUUU